rnacentral:rRNA from 1 species
AUUGAACGCUGGCGGCAGGCCUAACACAUGCAAGUCGAACGGUAGCACAGAGAGCUUGCUCUCGGGUGACGAGUGGCGGACGGGUGAGUAAUGUCUGGGAAACUGCCCGAUGGAGGGGGAUAACUACUGGAAACGGUAGCUAAUACCGCAUAAUGUCGCACGACCAAAGAGGGGGACCUUCGGGCCUCUUGCCAUCGGAUGUGCCCAGAUGGGAUUAGCUAGUUGGUGAGGUAAUGGCUCACCAAGGCGACGAUCCCUAGCUGGUCUGAGAGGAUGGCCAGCCACACUGGAACUGAGACACGGUCCAGACUCCUACGGGAGGCAGCAGUGGGGAAUAUUGCACAAUGGGCGCAAGCCUGAUGCAGCCAUGCCGCGUGUAUGAAGAAGGCCUUCGGGUUGUAAAGUACUUUCAGCGGGGAGGAAGGCGAUACGGUUAAUAACCGUAGUGAGUGACGGUACCCGCAGAAGAAGCACCGGCUAACUCCGUG